CUGUUCUACAUGUGUCGUUGUUCAAGUGGCUGAGACCAAUCCGGCUUGCCUGUGGCUCGGAUUUCACUAUAAGAUCUGGACUGAUCACCUUGUGAAGCUCAGCAGACUCGAUUGCCUGUUGAAGCCACCAGGGAUCCUCCCUCUCCAUCUGCUUCACUUUGCGAUCUAAAGGGCUCAGUUGAAGAUGUCUGACACUGAAGAAGUGUAAGU